rnacentral:rRNA from 1 species
GAUGAACGCUGGCGGCGUGCCUAACACAUGCAAGUCGAGCGGUAACACAGGGAGCUUGCUCCCGGGUGACGAGCGGCGGACGGGUGAGUAAUGUCUGGGAAACUGCCUGAUGGAGGGGGAUAACUACUGGAAACGGUAGCUAAUACCGCAUAACGUCGCAAGACCAAAGAGGGGGACCUUCGGGCCUCUUGCCAUCAGAUGUGCCCAGAUGGGAUUAGCUAGUAGGUGGGGUAACGGCUCACCUAGGCGACGAUCCCUAGCUGGUCUGAGAGGAUGACCAGCCGCACUGGAACUGAGACACGGUCCAGACUCCUACGGGAGGCAGCAGUGGGGAAUAUUGCACAAUGGGCGCAAGCCUGAUGCAGCCAUGCCGCGUGUAUGAAGAAGGCCUUCGGGUUGUAAAGUACUUUCAGCGGGGAGGAAGGUGCUGAGGUUAAUAACCUCAGCAAUUGACGUUACCCGCAGAAGAAGCACCGGCUAACUCCGUGCCAGCCGCCGCGGUAA